UUCCUCUUCAGUUUGUUUCUAUAUCAACUGCAACUUGAAACAUCUUUACAACCAUGAAGUAUUCUUCAGCUCUGUGUCACAAAGCCAUUCGUGUUGGAACCUCCUGGACAGGAAGACCUAUUCAAGGUUUCCUGUUUUGCUGACAGGAAUAUGUGUAUCAAUGGUUACUAGUUAUGACGGAUAUAUAGACUUCUUAUAAGACACUAUGCUUCUGACAAACAGGACUUGAUGAAGCCUUCUGUCAACAGCUGACCAAACAGGCACAAAGAAGAGAUAUAGUAGUCAUGGGCGAUUUCAAUUAUCCCGAUAUCUGCUGGAAAACAAACUCAGCCAAGAGUACAAAGUCCAACAAAUUCCUCACUUGCCUUGCAGAUAAUUUUAUGGUCCAGAAGGUAGAAGAGGCAACAAGGGGAUCAGCAACUCUUGAUCUAAUCUUAACAAAUGUGGAAGACCUGAUCAAUACAGUUGAAGUGGUUGGAUCCUUAGGGGCAAGUGACCAUGUGCUCCUGCAGUUUGCAAUACAAAGGAAUGCUGAAACUAAGACAAGUCAAACACGCAUUCUGGACUUUAAGAGAGCUGACUUCCAAAAAAUGAAGGAAUUACUGAGCGGCAUUCCAUGGACGCCGAUAUUAAAAAACAAGGGAGUUAAGGAUGGAUGGGAGUUUUUCAAAAGUGAAAUACUCAAGGCGCAAAUGCAAACAGUGCCAACAAAGAAGAAAAAUAAGACAAGUGCAAAGAAGCCAGAAUGGAUGUCCAAAGAACUUCUAACUGAGCUAAAGCUCAAAAGUGACAUGCACAAGAAGUGGAAAAGGGGAGAAAUCACCAAAGAAGAAUUCAAACGUAUAGCCAACACCUGUAGGGAAAAGGUUCGCAAGGCUAAAGCGCAAAAUGAGCUCAGGCUUGCCAGGGACAUAAAAAACAACAAACAAGGCUUUUUUGCUUACGUUGGUAGAAAAAGGAAGAAAAAGGAGGCGAUAGGGCCACUGCAAGGAGAAGAUGGGGUGAUGGCGACAGGGGACAGGGAAAAGGCAGAACUACUUAAUGCCUUCUUUGCCUCGGUCUUCUCAGAAAAAGAAAGCCAUCUUCAACCUCAGCAACACGGAAUGGACGAAGGAUUGGGGGAAAUCCAACCCCAAAUAGGGAAACAAGUUGUCCAGGAACACUUGGGCUCUCUAAACGAAUUCAAGUCCCCAGGGCCAGAUCAGCUACACCCAAGAGUACUGAAGGAACUAGCGGAAGUUAUUUCAGAACCACUGGCAAUUAUCUUCGAGAGUUCUUGGAGAACGGGAGAAGUCCCAGCAGAUUGGAGGAGGGCGAAUGUGGUCCCUAUCGUCAAGAAGGGAAAAAAGAACGACCCAAACAAUUACCGUCCGGUCAGCCUCACAUCAAUACCAGGCAAAAUUCUGGAAAAGAUCAUUAAGGAAGUGGUCUGCGAACACUUAGAAACAAAUGCGGUCAUUGCUAAUAGUCAACACGGAUUUACCAAAAACAAGUCAUGCCAGGCAAGAUUCUGGAAAAGAUCAUUAAGGAAGUGGUCUGCAAACAUUUAGAAACAAAUGCGGUCAUUGCUAAUAGCCAACACGGAUUUACCAAAACCAAGUCAUGCCAGACUAAUCUGAUCUCUUUUUUCGAUAGUGUUAUGAGUUGGGUUGAUACAGGGAACGCUGUGGAUGUAGCAUACCUGGAUUUCAGUAAGGCCUUCGACAAAGUCCCCCACGACCAUCUGCCAAACAAACUAGUAAAAUGUAGGCUAGACAAAACUACAGUUAGGUGGAUUUGUAAUUGGCUAAGCGAAUGAACCCAAACGGUGCUCACCAAUGCGUUGUCUUCAUCUUGGAAAGAAGUCAAGAGUGGAGUGCCGCAGGGUUCUGUCCUGGGCCUAAUUCUGUUCAACAUCUUUAUUAACGACUUAGACGAAGGGUUAGAAGGCAAGACCAUCAAGUUUGCAGAUGACACCAAACUGGGAGGGAUAGCCAAUACUCCAGAAGACAGGAGCAGAAUUCAAAACGAUCUUGACAGACUAGAGAGAUGGGCCGAAACUAACAAAAUGAAGUUCAACAGGGACAAAUGCAAGAUACCUCACUUCGGUAGAAAAAAUGGAAUGCAAAGAUACAGAAUGGGGGACACCUGGCUCAACAGCAGUACGUGUGAAAAAGAUCUUGUAGUCCUUGUGGACAACAAGUUAAACAUGAGCCUACAAUGUGAUGCGGCUGCUAAAAAAGCCAAUGGGAUUCUGGCCUGCAUAAAUAGGGGUAUAGCAUCUAGAUCCAGGGAAGUCAUGCUACCCCUCUAUUCUGCCUUGGUCAGACCACACCUGGAAUACUGUGUCCAAUUCUGGGCACCGCAAUUGAAGGGAGAUGUUGACAAGCUGGAAAGUGUCCAGAGGAGGGAAACUAAAAUGAUCAAGGGUCUGAAGAACAAGCCCUAUGAGGAGCGGCUUAAAGAACUGGGCAUGUUUAGCCUGCAGAAGAGAAGGCUGAAAAGAGACAUGAUAGUCAUGUACAAAUACAUGUCACAGACAGAACGCCAGCGAGUAAAACAAAACUCAGUUUAUUGAGGUUACAGAACUAAAAACGCCCGUAGGAAACAAAGAACAGGGCAAACACUUGACUUCAGUGUGAUAAGUAACAAAAAACAGCUCAGUUUGAGCUUAAACGGUUCAAAGGGAUAAACCGGGUUAAACAGAAGUAUAAUCCGGAUUAAAUCAAAAGUGCUUACUUCAGCCUGGCAAACAAUGCAAACAAAAGAGGAUCAACAGGAGUCAGAAUGUAAACAACAGACUGGUAGCAGAUUCCUCUCUGCUACUCAGAAACAGCAGGAGAAUAAACCAGGCUUGUUUAUUCCUUCCUGCAGCGAACGAAAAGCGUGGUCGUAGUCAGGAUUCAGUUUAAGGUUCAGCGGCCAACGAUAUCCAGGUCCAGGCACAGCAAUCAGGGUAACGGCAGUCAGCAGGGUCCCAAUCCGGUCCAGAGGUCAAUAGCCAAACGUAGUCGUCUAGAAAUCCAAAGGUCUCACCGAUAGCCAGCAGAAGGGAUAAUCCGGAAUCGAAGUCAGUCAGUCCAGCGUCAAUCCAGUGCGAGUAGAUAUUGCCCGUCAAAAAGACGACGGAGGUCCAAGCUAUCGAGAUUAAACACAAGUUGCACAGAGAAAAACCCCACACAGUUCCUCCCGCCGUCGAUGCCCAGUGUCCUUGGUAAACUUACGUAUCCAGUAACGAAUCACACCCGUCUUCAGGAAGUUCCCCAACAAAAGCCCAAGCGUCCGUCCAGAUUACCUUGCCCAACGCAAUUAGACAUUGGUCCCAAACCCCAAUUUAUCCCAGUUCAAGCUCAUCAUCGCUGUCAGCUGCCAUCCCAAUUCCAGGUGCCCCAACAUCAUCAUCCUCAUCAGAGCUUAAGCACCUUUGACUACGCCCCACAGCAUCCCCAGCUGUGGAUCCCGCUCCAUCCCUCCAGCCAGUCCAUGGGUCUGAUCCUGCAACCCGCCAAUCAUCUCCCAUGCUUUCAUUGCCUGUUUCCCCAACACCCAAAUCCUCCCUCACACGAGUCCAUUCCAUGUCGUCCUCCUCCGAGCUGGCCAUCUCUUCCUCCAAACCCUCAGAAAAACCCUCAAAUGAGUCCUCAUCUGUCGGGUCUGUAAACAAAUCCCGGAGCCGUUUUCUUUCACGCUCCUUGAAAGAGUCUGACUCUCGAGGAGUCUUAUGACCCCUUCUUCUAUUACCGGAGCCCGAAGGCUCAACCAUAACAAUACAUGAAGGGAAAUCAUAGGGAGGAGGGAGCAAGCUUGUUUUCUGCUGCCCUGCAGACUAGGACGCGGAACAAUAGCUUCAAACUACAGGAAAGGAGAUUCCACCUGAACAUCAGGAGGAAUGUCCUCACUGUGAGAGCUGUUCGGCAGUGGAACUCUCUCCCCCGGACUGUGGUGGAGGCUCCUUCUUUGGGGGCUUUUAAGCAGAGGCUGGAUGGCCAUCUGUCGGGGGUGCUUUGAAUGCGAUUUCCUGCUUCUUGGCAGAGGGUUGGACUGGAUGGCCCAUGAGGUCUCUUCCAACUCUACUAUUUUAUGAUUCUAUGAUU
ensembl:lncRNA